GACGGAGGAUGCAAGUGUUAUCCGGAAUUACUGGGCGUAAAGGGCUCGUAGGCGGCCAACUAAGUCAUACGUGAAAUCCCUCGGCUUAACCGGGGAACUGCGUCUGAUACUGGAUGGCUUGAGUUCGGGAGAGGGAUGCGGAAUUCCAGGUGUAGCGGUGAAAUGCGUAGAUAUCUGGAGGAACACCGGUGGCGAAGGCGGCAUCCUGGACCGAUACUGACGCUGAGGAGCGAAAGCCAGGGGAGCAAACGGG
rnacentral:rRNA from 1 species